rnacentral:rRNA from 1 species
GCGGCAGGCUUAACACAUGCAAGUCGAGCGGUAGCACAGGGUGAGCUUGCUCCCUGGGAUGACGAGCGGCGGACGGGUGAGUAAUGUCUGGGAAACUGCCUGAUGGAGGGGGAUAACUACUGGAAACGGUAGCUAAUACCGCAUAAUGUCGCAAGACCAAAGUGGGGGACCUUCGGGCCUCACACCAUCGGAUGUGCCCAGAUGGGAUUAGCUAGUAGGUGGGGUAAUGGCUCACCUAGGCGACGAUCCCUAGUCUGGUCUGAGAGGAUGACCAGCCACACUGGAACUGAGACACGGUCCAGACUCCUACGGGAGGCAGCAGUGGGGAAUAUUGCACAAUGGGCGCAAGCCUGAUGCAGCCAUGCCGCGUGUGUGAAGAAGGCCUUAGGGUUGUAAAGCACUUUCAGCGAGGAGGAAGGGUGGUGUGUUAAUAGCACAUCACAUUGACGUUACUCGCAGAAGAAGCACCGGCUAACUCCGUGCCAGCAGCCGCGGUAAUACGGAGGGUGCAAGCGUUA